rnacentral:sRNA from 314 species
GUUUGCACUUGUCGGGGAAGGGUGAGAACCUUCGAUUAAGGUUCGACUCGAGCGAAAGCGAGAGAACGUUGCCAACGGCAACGGCCCGUAGGGUGAGGAGCGAAGCGACGAAUAAUCCUUCCCCCACCACCA